AUUGAACGCUGGCGGCAGGCCUAACACAUGCAAGUCGAGCGGUAACACAGAGGAGCUUGCUCCUUGGGUGACGAGCGGCGGACGGGUGAGUAAUGCCUGGGGACCUGCCCGAUAGAGGGGGAUAACUACGGGAAACUGUAGCUAAUACCGCAUAAUGUCUACGGACCAAAGUGGGGGCUCUUCGGACCUCAUGCUAUCGGAUGAACCCAGGUGGGAUUAGCUAGUUGGUGAGGUAAUGGCUCACCAAGGCGACGAUCUCUAACUGGUUUGAGAGAAUGACCAGUCACACUGGAACUGAGACACGGUCCAGACUCCUACGGGAGGCAGCAGUGGGGAAUAUUGCACAAUGGGCGCAAGCCUGAUGCAGCCAUGCCGCGUGUGUGAAGAAGGCCUUCGGGUUGUAAAGCACUUUCAGCGGGGAGGAAGGGUCACUAGUUAAUACCUAGUGGCAUUGACGUUACUCGCAGAAGAAGCACCGGCUAACUCCGCGCCAGCAGCCGCUGUAAUAC
rnacentral:rRNA from 1 species